GGUGGGUGGCUGGAUGGAUGGAUUUGUGGUGAUGGGUAGGUGGUAGGGUGAACAGAUGGAUAAAUGAAUGGAAAAUGUUGGGCAGGUAUGUGGGGCAGCAAGGCGGGUGGGUGGCUGGCUGGCUCCACCCACUGAUGUGUGUGUGGAGGGUAGGUCCUUUCUACCCACCAUUUCAGUUCAAAUCAGAAAUUGCAGACCUUGCAGGCUUUCACGGGGAGCCCUGAAAACCUGCCUACUGUGCCACCUCUGCCGCCGGUCUGUUAGGAGUCAUCCUCUCACCUUGAGUGGGGCCGAGUCUCCGGCUCCCGCUGCGGGCGGUGCUCGCCAAGCCCCGGUUUCCUCGCUGCAGGAGGAGGCACCCUCUGCUCAGGCGUCAGGACCGCUGGACGAGGGCCAAGGUCGCCCCGCUUGUCAUGACCUCUGCUACCAGCUCUUGGCAUACAUCUGAGCAACCAGACGGAUGCUUUU